CCCUUAGAUGUCCGGGGCCGCACGCGCGCUACACUGAAGGAAUCAGCGUGGCUUUCUCCCUGACCCGAAAGGGUUGGGAAACCCGUUGAAUCUCCUUCGUGAUAGGGAUUGGGGCUUGAAAUUGUUCCCCAUGAACGAGGAAUUCCCAGUAAGCGCGAUUCAUAAGCUCGCGUUGAUUACGUCCCUGCCCUUUGUACACACCGCCCGUCGCUACUACCGAUUGAACGGUUUAGUGAGGGCCUCGGAUUGGUCUCGGCCCGCUCUUUACCGGGCGGCGCCGUUGGUCGAGAAGACGCUCGAACUUGAUCGUUUAGAGGAAGUAAAAGUCGUAACA
rnacentral:rRNA from 1 species